rnacentral:ncRNA from 1 species
CUUCAGAGUAGAAGCGGCUAGCGACCGGCAUAUCUGUGCCGGCAACGUGGGGCAUUGCUCUUGGG